UUUUAAAUGGCCGCAGUAUUUUGACUGUGCAAAGGUAGCAUAAUCAUUAGUUUUUUAAUUAAAAGCUUGUAUGAAAGGCUGGACGAGGUAAAAUCUGUCUCUAUUUAAAUUAUAAUAGAAUUUAACUUUUAAGUUAAAAGGCUUAAAUAUUAUUAAAAGACGAGAAGACCCUAUAGAUCUUUAUAAUUUGUUGAAUAAAAUUAAUUUAGAAUUAUUAAUAUUUUAUUUAGUAAAUUAUUUUAUUGGGGUAAUAGAAAGAUUUAAUUAAUUCUUUUUUACUAUUAACAUUAAUUUAUGAGUGUAAAUGAUCCAGUUUUACUGAUUAUAAGAUUAAGUUACCUUAGGGAUAACAGCGUAAUUUUUUUAGAGAGUUCAUAUCGAUAAAAAAGUUUGCGACCUCGAUGUUGGAUUAAAGAUUAUUUUAGGUGCAGAAGCUUAAUAAUUUUGGUCUGUUCGACCAUUAAAUCUUUACAUGAUCUGAGUUCAGACCGGCGUAAGCCAGGUCGGUUUCUAUCUUUAAUAAAAUAGAAUAUUUUAGUACGAAAGGACCAAAUAUUUAAUAUAAUUAUAUUUUAUUUAUUGAAUAUUA
rnacentral:rRNA from 1 species